AAUUUUUCGACUCUCAGGCAUCAGACCAACUAUCCGGGAAUCUCACCGGAACUCCCGGAACUUCCGGGAGACUUGGAUAAUGUAGUCCGAGGCGAUUCGCUCUAUUGUUACGCAGACUUGGAUCUACUUUCAGACUGGAAAAUUGGAGGUUCUGUUAAAGCGUCCUGUUUCUACAGUGCUGGACAUGACGUCAUGGCUGGGUGGCUGCUGUGUUCCCUGCAUUCUGCCCUUAUCUUAGUGUUUGUUUCAGCAGAGUAACCGGAGCAAAGGAGAGGAUUUCCCGGAGGGGAGAAGAGAAACAACCGAUGGAAGAAGCGGUUCAACCGGAGCAAAUGUC